AGAGUUUGAUCCUGGCUCAGGAUGAACGCUAGCGGCAGGCUUAAUACAUGCAAGUCGAGGGGCAGCACAGGUAGCAAUACUGGGUGGCGACCGGCAAACGGGUGCGGAACACGUACGCAACCUUCCUUUAAGCGGGGGAUAGCCCAGGGAAACUUGGAUUAAUACUCCAUAAUAUUACUGAAUGGCAUCAUUUGGUUAUU
rnacentral:rRNA from 1 species